UUUGGUAAUGCUAUCGUAUUGAAACUAAUGUAAUGAGCUGUGUAACGUUCGAAAUGUGAUGAUAAUGCAUGGUUUAUUUGUUUUUACUCAGCUCUUACGUUGGUUGAUGAGCUGGAAGACCCGCUGCAGGUUACUGAUAUCUGAUGUUUGAAAGAGUUUUGUCUCUCUGGACAGCACCAGGCCACGUAUGACAUAAUACAAAAACACAAUGUUGGACAUUGCCAUUCAUCAUAUUUGCAUGGUGGCUAUAUUCCUCUGAAGUCACACUCAGGAUGCAAAGCUCAAAUGCUGUUCACAAGAUGAUAUUGUACUGUUGUUUUCCAGGUUUCAAGUUGUAUAAAUGUAGGGAAUCUGACAAAUCCUUAUCAUUUCACCUCUUGACCAUUGUUAAGAAAGUGAAAAGGCAGUAGGGUGAUUUUGUUUAUUGUAAUGGUCACCGUGUGAAUGAGGCCUGUUUUUGUUUCAUGAUGCUUCUUGAUGUCCACCAUUUAGGUCACAAGUUCCUUGAUAUGUCCAGGACUGUGAACACCCAAGGUCAUUUUAAUAAAAUAUAUGCCUUUUCUGCCAAGGCCUUUUGCAUAAAAUAAAGGGUGUUUCUUCCUUCACUGCCA